rnacentral:rRNA from 1 species
UACGGAGGGUGCAAGCGUUAAUCGGAAUUACUGGGCGUAAAGCGUGCGCAGGCGGUUUGUUAAGUCUGUUGUGAAAUCCCCGAGCUCAACUUGGGAAUUGCAAUGGAUACUGGCAGGCUGGAGUAUGGUAGAGGAAGGUGGAAUUCCCGGUGUAGCAGUGAAAUGCGUAGAGAUCGGGAGGAACACCAGUGGUGAAGGCGGCCUUCUGGACCAAUACUGACGCUCAUGCACGAAAGCGUGGGGAGCAAACAGG